rnacentral:rRNA from 1 species
AAUGCGUAGAGAUCUGGAGGAAUACCGGUGGCGAAGGCGGCCCCCUGGACAAAGACUGACGCUCAGGUGCGAAAGCGUGGGGAGCAAACAGGAUUAGAUACCCUGGUAGUCCACGCCGUAAACGAUGUCGAUUUGGAGGUUGUGCCCUUGAGGCGUGGCUUCCGGAGCUAACGCGUUAAAUCGACCGCCUGGGGAGUACGGCCGCAAGGUUAAAACUCAAAUGAAUUGACGGGGGCCCGCACAAGCGGUGGAGCAUGUGGUUUAAUUCGAUGCAACGCGAAGAACCUUACCUGGUCUUGACAUCCACAGAACUUUCCAGAGAUGGAUUGGUGCCUUCGGGAACUGUGAGACAGGUGCUGCAUGGCUGUCGUCAGCUCGUGUUGUGAAAUGUUGGGUUAAGUCCCGCAACGAGCGCAACCC